UACGAAGGGGGCUAGCGUUGCUCGGAAUCACUGGGCGUAAAGGGCGCGUAGGCGGGGAGGUAAGUCGGGUGUGAAAUCCCUUGGCUCAACCAAGGAACUGCGCCCGAGACUGCUUCUCUUGAGUCCCGGAGAGGAAGGUGGAAUUCCCGGUGUAGCGGUGAAAUGUGUAGAGAUCGGGAGGAACACCGGUGGCGAAGGCGGCCUUCUGGACGGUGACUGACGCUGAGGCGCGAAAGCGUGGGGAGCAAACGGG
rnacentral:rRNA from 1 species